GAUGAACGCUGGCGGCGUGCUUAACACAUGCAAGUCGAACGAAACACCUUAUUUGAUUUUCUUCGGAACUGAAGAUUUGGUGAUUGAGUGGCGGACGGGUGAGUAACGCGUGGGUAACCUGCCCUGUACAGGGGGAUAACAGUCAGAAAUGACUGCUAAUACCGCAUAAGACCACAGCACCACAUGGUGCAGGGGUAAAAACUCCGGUGGUACAGGAUGGACCCGCGUCUGAUUAGCUGGUUGGUGAGGUAACGGCUCACCAAGGCGACGAUCAGUAGCCGGCUUGAGAGAGUGAACGGCCACAUUGGGACUGAGACACGGCCCAAACUCCUACGGGAGGCAGCAGUGGGGAAUAUUGCACAAUGGGGGAAACCCUGAUGCAGCGACGCCGCGUGAGUGAAGAAGUAUCUCGGUAUGUAAAGCUCUAUCAGCAGGGAAGAAAAUGA
rnacentral:rRNA from 1 species